rnacentral:misc_RNA from 1 species
AUCCAUCAGCCCCUCCCGUUUUUGCGGGACAAAAGGGGAACUGGAGUUGGGGGCCUGCUGCCGCGAGGCGGCUCCCCUCGAAUGCAUCGGUUGGACCUGCGGGUCGAACUCGACUGGGCGUUGUACCAUCCUCGCUCGACCGAGAAGUUCCCCUCUUGGCGUCCUCCCACGACCUCGCCUGUGGAGCGGCGGUCAAAUGUACUUUGAAAU